rnacentral:rRNA from 1 species
CCUACGGGGUGCUGCAGUGAGGAAUAUUGGUCAAUGGUCGGGAGACUGAACCAGCCAAGCCGCGUGAGGGAUGAAGGUACAGAGUAUCGUAAACCUCUUUUGUCAGGGAACAAAGGCGGGGACGUGUCCCCGGAUGAGUGUACCUGAAGAAAAAGCAUCGGCUAACUCCGUGCCAGCAGCCGCGGUAAUACGGAGGAUGCGAGCGUUAUCCGGAUUUAUGGGGUUUAAAGGGUGCGCAGGCGGUCUGUUAAGUCAGCGGUCAAAGCCCGGGGCUCAACCCCGGCCCGCCGUUGAAACUGGCAGUCUCGAGUUGGAGAGAAGUAUGCGGAAUGCGCGGUGUAGCGGUGAAAUGCAUAGAUAUCGCGCAGAACUCCGAUUGCGAAGGCAGCAUGCCGGCUCCACACUGACGCUGAGGCACGAAAGCGUGGGUAUCGAACAGGAUUAGAUACCCUGGUAGUC